AGUGAACGCUGGCGGUAGGCCUAACACAUGCAAGUCGAACGGCAGCACAGUAAGAGCUUGCACUUACGGGUGGCGAGUGGCGGACGGGUGAGGAAUACAUCGGAAUCUACUUUUUCGUGGGGGAUAACGUAGGGAAACCUACGCUAAUACCGCAUACGACCUACGGGUGAAAGCAGGGGAUCUUCGGACCUUGCGCGAUUGAAUGAGCCGAUGUCGGAUUAGCUAGUUGGGGGGGUAAAGGCCCACCAAGCCGACGAUCCGUAGCUGGUCUGAGAGGAUGAUCAGCCACACUGGAACUGAGACACGGUCCAGACUCCUACGGGAGGCAGCAGUGGGGAAUAUUAGACAAUGGGCGCAAGCCCGAUCCAGCCAUACCGCGUGGGUGAAGAAGGCCUUCGGGUUGUAAAGCCCUUUUGUUGGGAAAGAAAAGCAGCAGGUUAAUACCCCGCUGUUCUGACGGUACCCAAAGAAUAAGCACCGGCUAACUUCGUG
rnacentral:rRNA from 1 species